GGCUUCGUGGUCUAGUGGAUACGAUUCGUUCUUCGGGAGAUAAUCCCUUAAUUCGUUAGAGUUACUGAAUGAGGUCCCGGGUUCGAUCCCCGGCGAAGCCC